CCUACGGGAGGCAGCAGUGAGGAAUAUUGGUCAAUGGACGCGAGUCUGAACCAGCCAAGCCGCGUGAAGGAUGACGGCCCUACGGGUUGUAAACUUCUUUUAUAAAGGAAUAAAGGGAGGUACGCGUGCCUUUCUGAAUGUACUUUAUGAAUAAGGAUCGGCUAACUCCGUGCCAGCAGCCGCGGUAAUACGGAGGAUUCGAGCGUUAUCCGGAUUUAUUGGGUUUAAAGGGUGCGUAGGUGGGUUGUUAAGUCAGUGGUGAAAGUUCGCGGCUCAACCGUAGAAUUGCAUUUGAUACUGUCAGCCUAGAGUACAGUUGCGGUAGGCGGAAUGCGUGGUGUAGCGGUGAAAUGCUUAGAUAUC
rnacentral:rRNA from 1 species